rnacentral:rRNA from 1 species
GAUCAUGGCUCAGGAUGAACGCUGGCGGCGUGCCUAACACAUGCAAGUCGAGCGGGAAAUACUUGAUUGAAACUUCGGUCGAUUGAUAGUAUGGAGAGCGGCGGACGGGUGAGUAACGCGUAGGCAACCUGCCUUAUGCAGAGGGAUAGCCAUUGGAACGAUGAUUAAAACCUCAUAAUGCCAAGGGUUCACAUGUACUUUUGGCCAAAGAUUUAUCGGCAUAAGAUCGGG